rnacentral:miRNA from 3 species
UGGCAAGAUGUAGGCAGUUCAGU